UACGUAGGGGGCAAGCGUUGUCCGGAAUCAUUGGGCGUAAGGCGCGUGUAGGCGGCUCGAUAAGUCUGCUGUGAAAGUUCAGGGCUCAACCCUGAAAUGCCGGUGGAAACUGUCGAGCUAGAGUACGGAAGAGGUGAGUGGAAUUCCUGGUGUAGCGGUGAAAUGCGCAGAUAUCAGGAAGAACACCCGUGGCUAAGGCGGCUCUCUAGUACGGUACUGACGCUGAGACGCGAAAGCGUGGGGAGCGAACAGG
rnacentral:rRNA from 1 species